UCCAUCCCCAAGGUCUAUAUUGUAUUCGGAGAAAACCAGUUCCCCAAAGUUCUCUGGGCUAUGUAUGCAAACAUGCAAGCAUGCAUGCAUAUGCAUAAAUGUAAUAAAAAUACAAAUAUUUCUUAUUAAAAGAAAUAUAUGCAGGGCUCGAGAGAUGGCUCAGAGGUUAAGAGCACUGACUGCUUUUCCAGAGGACCUGGGUUGAAUUCCCAGUACAGUAGGCUCACAACUGUCUAUAACUCCAGUUCUAGGAAACCUGACACCCUCACACAGACAUACAUUCAGGCAAAAACACCAAUGCACAUAAAAUAAAACAAUAAAAAAUAUGCUAAGGUAGAAUGGAUAGAUGGUAGGCUUUGGAAUUCAGAAAACAAAUCGUGCCUAUUUUACUGUUCGCUUACACUCUCUUGGCUUUAGAAUUUUAUGCACAGAGUCUGAGAAAGUCACACAAUCAAGGAAAAGACAAACAUUGACUUUAAUGUGAGACAAUGUAGAGUUCCUUGAUAAACUCUCAUCUCCAGUAUCAGUGAUAGUUAUUGCAAUACUAUCUUUCCAAUAAGACUGAAUUUGAGAUAAUACUUUAAAAGCUCUUGGACCAGUUUCUGCUCAAUAAAUAGCAUUCCUAACUACCAAUCUAGCAGUAGAGGACAGACUAUUAUUUCAGGAUGAAUUACCAUGAUCUUGGUCAUUUGACUAGCCUUUUUGUUUUCCUUGCUUUUCACAAAUUCAGUUGUGGAAGGUACCUGGAGAGAUUUUUUUCCCUGCAGGACAGCUUGAAUUAUUCUGAUUUUUCACUUGAUUUCAGAAGUGUCUAAUUCCAGGGGAGACAACCCAGAUGCAGAUUAUAAACUUGCAUAAUGGACCUGCUCAUGUGGAGAAAACCUGUGGUUUCCUGGCAGUGAACUUGGUUACACCAAGACAAGAAUGGCCCUUGAGCAGGGCUGGAGCAGAAUCACUUUUCUCAAUAUGAGCCCUGCACAAACCAAUGGACGGCCACUGCACAGGCGGAGGCCUGUGUGAGGGCCAUUGAGCGUUACCCGUUUCUCUAAUGCAUCAUAAUUAAACACCUGUGCUCAAUAACCUCUCGCAGCUCCACUGUGGAGAGUUGCUCGAUGCUACAGUUCCUGAGGUUUUCCAUCUUCCACUUGAGAGGGUGGUCUCAAGGCUACGCUUUGGCUCCCGUAGGAAAAGAAAUAGCAGCUUCCUCCCAUAGAAAGAUUUCUUCCCCAGUUGUAGAUCUCAGGGCUUUUCAAGGACACUCAUGGAAGAAAAAAGCAUUUUGUGCAACGUGGGAAGAAUGUUUGGUUUCUCAAACUUAGCAAUGAUGAAAGUAUAUUGCAUAAUGGUGAAACAACAUGGAAACAGUGGUUUUUACUUUGCUUGUUUUAGAAGCCAUCCAUGCAGAGGAGAGAAUGUGGUGAUUUUUGAAUGAAACUGGCUGUGGGAAGAAACCAUGCAUUAUCCUGGUGCACCAGUGUUGCUAUGCCCCAUGCAGCUGAGCAGAGACACUGAUGCAUCACACAGACAUAGCUGGUCCAGGCUCUAAGCCUUCCCCAACAUAGACCGUUCCUCUAAACCUGUGAGCCAGAAUGAACAUCUUCUUCAUUAAUUGCUUCCGUUUGAUAUUUUGCUGCCAGAGGAAGAAAAAAAAAUAAUGGAUAAAGAUGCAUUUGGUUGGCUGUACACUCAAAGAACAGGAAACCAGGUUUAUCUGGAAACUGGUCAAAAAGAUGACACUCCAUGGAUUAUCUCAUCAGAAAACAUCUAUGUAUCCUAUCUACUUAUGGCGUCACCUAUGAAAUUCCAUCUUUCUAUUACAAUUGGAUGGCUUAUUUAUAGAGAAACCCGUCACUUUUCUCUGCAUCACUUCUCCUCUCCUGUGGGCUCCUACUGCUGUGAACUCCACAUUGGCGGACUAUAAACCCAUCCAAAGGGAAACUUCUACAGCUUCAUCAUUAGUUUGACUCUAUGUUUUUAUUCUGUAAGCAAUAAAACUAUAUGUCCCUGGCUAAAUGUAAAUAGAUAAGGUUUAGUAUUAUCUUUCUGGAGAUAAACUAUAAUGGUUGAGUUUUC